rnacentral:misc_RNA from 1 species
GAAAUCUAAGCAAUGGGUUUUUUUUUUUUUUUAAUCCCUGAUUUGAUGCUUAAAUAGUUGUAUGCAAGAUGAUUGGGUUGUCUGUUGCUUGUGAUGUGUUUCACAUUGAAUGAAUGUGCUCAAUUGUUGCAGAAAAGAUGUCAUGGUCUCAAUUGAUAUGAGUAUGGAGUUGGCUGCAGAAAAGAUAUAUUUGCCUGUGUCUAAGUUGUUGGGAAUAUGUUUUGAUGGGUUGGACAAUCAAAUUUUGUUGACUGGUUGGCUUUUUGCAUCUGCAAAAUAUGCUGUGUGCUUGACUAAUUUUCAACUCUGCCCAAAAAUAAUAAUUGCUUUGCUUUAUUAGCAUGUUACAAUUGUACAAUAUUUUACAUUCAUGACGGCAUGUGGGGAAUGAUAUCAUGUAUGUAUUAAAACUAUGAAGCAUACAUGCAAUAACCAUUCAAUAUACUAGUGUUGUUAAAGGCAUGCCUCAGGGUAAUGCCUCUACUAGUGAAAUGUGGGUGACUUUUAACAGGCGUUUGCCUUAUGGGCCUUGGUGUGCACCUUGUUCCUAGUGCAAGGCUCUAGAAAGGCAUGUCUUCUUAAUUUCCAGCUUUGGCAAGCGCCUCCAUUGGCAAAAGACCCUACCAUUAGACUUGGAUUUUGCUGAUCUACCAGAAUCUGAUAUUGUCAUACUAGGAAGUCACCGGAAUUAGUGUCAUUGGAGAUAAAAAGUAGCAGGAAUCUCAUUAAAACACCACAACUAGGAUUGCUGAUCUCCCAUAUUUCCAUUUUCGUUACUCACACUCCUUUAAUCCCUCUCCUUGUACCUUGUUUUAAAUCUUCUCUCAUUAUCUCUCUUAUUUUCGCUUGUUGUUGGACUCCUUUGUUUCUAGUUUA